rnacentral:rRNA from 1 species
UGGGGAAUAUUGGACAAUGGGCGAAAGCCUGAUCCAGCCAUGCCGCGUGAGUGAUGAAGGCCCUAGGGUUGUAAAGCUCUUUCAACGGUGAAGAUAAUGACGGUAACCGUAGAAGAAGCCCCGGCUAACUUCGUGCCAGCAGCCGCGGUAAUACGAAGGGGGCUAGCGUUGUUCGGAAUUACUGGGCGUAAAGCGCGCGUAGGCGGAUUGAUCAGUUAGGGGUGAAAUCCCAAGGCUCAACCUUGGAACUGCCUCUAAUACUGUCAAUCUAGAGUUCGAGAGAGGUGAGUGGAAUUCCGAGUGUAGAGGUGAAAUUCGUAGAUAUUCGGAGGAACACCAGUGGCGAAGGCGGCUCACUGGCUCGAUACUGACGCUGAGGUGCGAAAGUGUGGGGAGCAAACAGGAUUAGAUACCCCCGUAGUCC